CGUGAAAUUGUUGAAAGGGAAGCGCUUGCAGCCAGACGUGCCCGCAGUUGCUCAUCCGGGGUUUUCCCCGGUGCAUUCUUCUGUGGGCAGGCCAGCAUCAGUUCUGGCGGUUGGAGAAAGGCCUGUGUCACGUAUCUGUCCUCGGACAGUGUUAUAGGGCAGGUGGAAUACAACCAGCUGGAACUGAGGUCCGCGCAUCUGCUAGGAUGCUGGCGUAAUGGCUGUAAGCGGCCCGUCUUGAAACACGG
rnacentral:rRNA from 1 species